CCUACGGGAGGCAGCAGUGGGGGAUAUUGCACAAUGGGGGAAACCCUGAUGCAGCGACGCCGCGUGUGGGAAGACGGUCCUCUGGAUUGUAAACCACUGUCCCCAGGGACGAAGAUGACGGUACCUGGGGAGGAAGCUCCGGCUAACUACGUGCCAGCAGCCGCGGUAAUACGUAGGGAGCGAGCGUUGUCCGGAAUUACUGGGUGUAAGGGGGGCGUAGGCGGGACUGCAAGUUGGGUGUCAAAUCUACCGGCUCAACCGGUAGCCGCACUCAAAACUGCAGUUCUUGAGUGAAGUAGAGGCAGGCGGAAUUCCUAGUGUAGCGGUGAAAUGCGUAGAUAUUAGGAGGAACACCAGUGGCGAAGGCGGCCUGCUGGGCUUUUACUGACGCUGAGGCUCGAAAGUGUGGGGAGCAAACAGGAUUAGAUACCCCAGUAGUC
rnacentral:rRNA from 1 species